rnacentral:rRNA from 1 species
UCGGAGGAAGGUGGGGAUGACGUCAAAUCAUCAUGCCCCUUUAUGACCUGGGCUACACACGUGCUACAAUGGUCGGUACAACGAGAAGCAAGUCAGCGAUGGCAAGCAAAUCUCUAAAAGCCGAUCCCAGUUCGGAUUGCAGGCUGCAACUCGCCUGCAUGAAGUCGGAGUUGCUAGUAAUCGCGGAUCAGAAUGCCGCGGUGAAUGCGUUCCCGGGUCUU